UGAGGAAUAUUGGUCAAUGGGCGGGAGCCUGAACCAGCCAAGUCGCGUGAAGGAAGAAGGAUCUAUGGUUCGUAAACUUCUUUUGCAGGGGAAUAAAGUGCAGGACGUGUCCUGUUUUGUAUGUACCCUGAGAAUAAGGAUCGGCUAACUCCGUGCCAGCAGCCGCGGUAAUACGGAGGAUCCGAGCGUUAUCCGGAUUUAUUGGGUUUAAAGGGUGCGUAGGUGGUUUGAUAAGUCAGCGGUGAAAGUUUGCAGCUUAACUGUAAAAAUGCCGUUGAAACUGUCGGACUUGAGUGUAAAUGAGGUAGGCGGAAUGCGUGGUGUAGCGGUGAAAUGCAUAGAUAUCACGCAGAACUCCGAUUGCGAAGGCAGCUUACUAAGCUAC
rnacentral:rRNA from 1 species